AGGAGGAGGAGAAGGAGUGUGUGUGUGUGUUGUUGUUGUUGUUGUUGGUGGUGGUGGUGGAUGCUCCAUUGGCAAAUGGGCCAGACCGCCUCUCCCCGCUGCAUCCCUCGGGCAGCGCGGCGGUGGUGAGAGUCACUGUGCGGCAGAGAGGAUGAAUCAGGCAGGCAUCUGAGCGGAGCGCGGGCACCUUCCGCAAUCCAUUCAGGCACUGAAGCGCGUGAAAGGCUGCUGAUCGCUGCCAUUGUUACACGCGGCCGAUGUGGGAACCCGAGCUGCGUCUCUGGCAAGAGAUAAAUAGCCCCUGACAGCGCCUCCUCGCCAGGGGAUCGCCUCCAAUUGCACGCGGCGGACGCUCUCAGAUUGCUGCACUUCACGGUGAAAAACGGAUUGACCAUAGUUCGCCUGCUGAAAUAGCGAAUCACACAGGAUUUCGAUUCAUCUUCUUCAUACUUACUUAGGUGUAAACAGAUCACACGCACAUAGGAGUAUUUUAGGACUGGGGCGAAAAUCGAAAGCGAGGGCUUGAUAGAAUCACCGUCCGUUGAAGUCAGUGGCAAUAAAACUCCAUUCAUUUCCA